AUUGAACGCUGGCGGCAUGCCUUACACAUGCAAGUCGAACGGCAGCACGGGUGCUUGCACCUGGUGGCGAGUGGCGAACGGGUGAGUAAUAUAUCGGAACGUACCUUAUUGUGGGGGAUAACGCAGCGAAAGCUGUGCUAAUACCGCAUAAUCCCUAAGGGGGAAAGCGGGGGACCGUAAGGCCUCGCGCAAUUAGAGCGGCCGAUACCUGAUUAGCUAGUUGGUGAGGUAAAGGCUCACCAAGGCAACGAUCAGUAGCUGGUCUGAGAGGACGAUCAGCCACACUGGGACUGAGACACGGCCCAGACUCCUACGGGAGGCAGCAGUGGGGAAUUUUGGACAAUGGGGGCAACCCUGAUCCAGCAAUGCCGCGUGAGUGAAGAAGGCCUUCGGGUUGUAAAGCUCUUUUGUCAGGGAAGAAACAGCAGCUCUAACACAGUUUGCGAAUGACGGUACCUGAAGAAUAAGCACCGGCUAACUACGUGCCAGCCGCCGCAGUAACAC
rnacentral:rRNA from 1 species